GCGGCUGCGGAUUAACUCAGUAGACACGGCUAAGCAUGUAGUACCGACAGCGGAGUACUGGCGGACGGGGGUUCAAAUCCCCCCGGCUCCACCAAAUAAUCCUUACAAAUCAGGCACUUAGCGAAUAUCGCAAGUGCCUUUUUUGUGCCUAAAUGGGUUGUUUUGGCUCGGUAAUGCCAGCUUUAUGACAGCCUUCCUAGCCCAUUCCACAUCUGCUGAUAUGCCCCCGCCGCAUCAACCGUCGUUCCGUUUUCCGACGAUUUUUUGGUUUGAAAUCCCACCACAGGGGGCUGCCAGGGGUAUUAAAUCUGUGUCGACUUAUACACAGAGACCCACACAUGUCGACACAUGCGCCCAAGAAGUACCUGAUCAGUCACGCCUCGCUACAGCACUGCUUUGACAAAAGCCGCUCCGGCCUCGAAAAGCUGCGCGAAACCGAUCCCAGCUUCCCCCGCCCCAUCAAAUUUGGCUCAAGCAAACAGGCUGGCGUU
rnacentral:tRNA from 1 species